rnacentral:rRNA from 1 species
AUGAGAAUAACUUAUCUAUCAUGUUUGCUGACAUCACAAGUGAUGGUACAGAUCACUGGAAUCCUGCUUCAGGCACCAUUCCCCAAUCUAGCAGUGCAACUUCAGUUUUCAAUGUGGACGACAUACAAGAUGUUGAUCUGGAGGAGACCCAAACAGGUGAGUCACAUGCCGAUGGAAAAGGGAAGAGACUUGGCAGGUAUGUGGAUGGCAAUAACAAGAAGCCAAAGACAUCUCUUGUUAUACAAGAACAGAUAA